rfam:Triticum urartu cultivar G1812 contig1227683, whole genome shotgun sequence.
UUGGAUUGUGCAAAGUCAAACUUGUUUAUCUUUGACCAACUCUAUAGAAAAUGUGCCAACAUCUACAAAACGAAAUACACGUAGUACCGAAAAUUAUUUCAUAAAGAAUCCCAUGAGACUAAUAUGGUAUUUCAGAUGUUAAUACAUUUUUCUAAAGAUGUGGUUAAACUUAAACAAGUUUGACUUUGAACAAGCCCAA